AAAAGCAUGUUAUUCAUUCACAGCGCCUCAUUCACUCGUGUCAGCGUUUAACACAGACAUCAGUCAACUCUUCAGCAUUCUACACGUGAUGAAAAUAAAUCCCAUGAUCCACCAAGACAAAAAUUUAAU